CAGUCGCCGCGGUAAAACGGAGGGUGCAAGCGUUAAUCGGAAUUGCUGGGCGUAAAGCGUGCGUAGGCGGUUCGUUAAGUCUGUUGUGAAAGCCCCGGGCUCAACCUGGGAAUGGCAAUGGAUACUGGCGAGCUAGAGUGUGUCAGAGGAUGGUGGAAUUCCUGGUGUAGCGGUGAAAUGCGUAGAUAUCAGGAGGAACACCUGUGGCGAAAGCGGCUCACUGGACCAUAACUGACGCUGAGGCACGAAAGCUAGGGGAGCAAACAGGAUUAGAUACCCCUGUAGUCCCUGUCUCUUAUAC
rnacentral:rRNA from 1 species